CGACCCCCCCCGGGAGCCCCGGACAGCGCGUGUGCCGGGACCAGGGCUCCGUCCCCAAACUGGGGGGCAAAGGUCACCGUGGGGAGACAAGGGCCUGAGCCGGUGCUCCCGGGGCUGGGGGGGCACGGGCCCCGCCCCCAUCUGUCCCCCCCACCCCCCUGCCGGCGCCUUUGUUCCCCGGGCAGCACCUAAUCGUGUGUGUGUGUGUGUGUGUGUCCGUGUGUGUCCCCGGGAGUCUGCGUCCUGUGCAUGUGUAUGUGUCCGGGAGCCUGCGUCCUGUGUAUACGUGUGCGUGUCUGGGAGCCUGCGUCCUGUAUGUGUGUGUCUGAGUGUGUGUGUGUGUCUGGGAGCCUGCGUCCUGUGUAUACGUGUGUGUGUGUGUGUGUGUGUGUCCGGGAGCCUGCGUCCUGUGUGUGUGUGUGUGUGUCUGUGUGUGUCCGGGAGCCUGCGUCCUGUGUGUGUGUGUGUGAGUGUGUGUGUCCGGGAGCCUGCGUCCUGUGUGUGUGUGUGUGUGUGUGUGUGUCCAGGAGCCUGCGUCCUGUGUAUACGUGUGUGUGUAUGUGUGUGUGUGUGUCCGGGAGCCUGCGUCUUCUGUGUGUGUGUGUGUGUGCGCGUGUGUGUCUGGGAGCCUGCGUCCUCUGUGUGUGUGUGUGUGCAUGUGUGUGUGUGUGUCUGGGAGCCUGCGUCCUGUGUGGAUGUGCGUGUGUGUCUGGGAGCCUGCGUCCUGUGUGUGUGUGUGUGUGUGUCCAGGAGCCUGCGUCCUGUGUAUACGUGUGUGUGUAUGUGUGUGUGUGUGUCCGGGAGCCUGCGUCCUCUGUGUGUGUGUGGGUGUGUGUGUGUCCGGGAGCCUGCGUCUUCUGUGUGUGUGUGUGUGCGCGUGUGUGUUUGGGAGCUUGCGUCCUCUGUGUGUGUGUGUGUGCAUGUGUGUGUGUGUGUCUGGGAGCCUGCGUCCUGUGUGGAUGUGCGUGUGUGUCCGGGAGCCUGCGUCUUCUGCGUGUGUGUGUGUGUGCAUGUGUCUGGGAGCCUGCGUCUGUAUGUGUGUGUGUGUGUGUGUGUGUGUCUGGGAGCCUGCGUCCUGUGUGUGUGUCUGGGAGCCUGCGUCCUGUGUAUACGUGUGUGUAUGUGUGUGUGUGUGUGUCCGGAAGCCUCCGUCCUGUGUGUGUGUGUGAGUGUGUGUGUGUGUCCAGGAGCCUGCAUCCUGUGUGUGUGUGUUCAGGAGCCUGCGUCCCGUGUGUGUGUGUGUAUGUGUGUGUGUGUGUCCGGAAGCCUGCGUCCUGUGUGUGUGUGUUCGGGAGCCUGCGUCCCGUGUGUGUGUGUGUGUGUGUCCAGGAGCCUGCGUCCUGUGUAUACGUGUGUGUGUGUUUGGGAGCCUGCGUCCUGUGUGUGUGUGUGUGUGUGUGUGUGUGUGUGUGUGCGCAUGUGCAUGUGUGUGUGUCUGGGAUCCUGCGUCCUGUGUAUACGUGUGUGUGUGUGUGUCCGGGAGCCUGUGUCCUGUGUGCAUGUGUGUGUGUGUCUGGGAGCCUGUGUCCUGUGUAUAUGUGUGCGUGUGUGUGUGUGUCUGGGAGCCUGCGCCCUGUGUGUGUGUGUGUCCGUGUGUGUCCCCUGGAGUCUGUGUCCUGUGCAUGUGUAUGUGUCCGGGAGCCUGCGUCCUGUGUAUACGUGUGCGUGUCUGGGAGCCUGCGUCCUGUAUGUGUGUGUGUGAGUGUGUGUGUGUGUCUGGGAGCCUGCGUCCUGUGUAUACGUGUGUGUGUGUGUGUGUGUGUGUGUGUGUGUGUGUCUGGGAGCCUGCGUCCUGUGUGUGUGUGUGUGAGUGUGUGUGUCCGGGAGCCUGCGUCCUGUGUGUGUGUGUGUGAGUGUGUGUGUCCGGGAGCCUGUGUCCUGUGCGCGCGCGCAUGUGUGUGUGUGUCCGGGAGCCUGCGUCCUGUGUGUGUGUGUGUGUGUGUGUGUGUCCAGGAGCCUGCGUCCUGUGCACGCGCGCGUGUGUGUGUGUGUCCGGGAGCCUGCGUCCUGUGUGUGUGUGUGUGUGUGUGUGAGCGUGUGUGUCCAGGAACCUGCGUCUUCUGUGUGUGUGUGUGUGUGUCUGGGAGCCUGCGCCCUAUGUGUGUGUGUCCGGGAGCCUGCGUCCUGUGUGCAUGUGUGUGUGUGUCUGGGAGCCUGUGUCCUGUGCAAACGUGUGCUUGUGCGUGUGUCUGGGAGCCUGCGUCCUGUGUGUGUGUGUGUGUGUGUGUGUGUCCGGGAGCCUGCGUCCCGUGUAUAGGUGUGUGUGUGUUUGUGUCCUGGAGCCUGGGUCCUGUGUAUACGUGUGUGUGUGCGCGCGCGCGUGCGUUGGACGCCUGGGUUUGGUCUCCGUGUGUGUGGGUACGUGUAUGUGCACGUGUCCUGGAGGCCUGGAUUCUGCAUAUACGUGUGCAUGUGCGUCUGCGUGUGUGCUUGUGUCAGACGCCUGGGUUGUGUGUGUGUGUAUGGGGGGUGUGCACCUGGCUGCACUCCUGCGUGUGCGUGUGUAACCGCGCUGUAAGGGUGUCCGCAGCGCCCCCGCUUGGCUGGUCCGGGGAGUGCGGGGGUGUCCCUGCCCGGGGGGGUGGGUCUCUCCGGGCUGCAGCGGCCCCGCCCCACGUGCAGGAAUCCCGGGAAUCCUCCCCCUCCCCGCACGCGCCGGGCGCCGGGUGGGGGGGCUAGGACCCCGCUGGUACCGGCCUGCGCCGUGCUGCACAACCCCCCCCCGGCCGGGAUGGGGGUGCUCGGGGUUGCACAGACCUCCCCGGCCGGGAUGGGACGCUUGGGACUGCACGAACCCCCAGACAGGCAGGGAUCGGGGUGCUCAGGGCUGCACGGCCCCCCAGGCAGGGAUCGGGGUGCUCAGGGCUGCACGGCCCCCCAGGCAGGGAUCGGGGUGCUCAGGGCUGCACGGCCCCCCAGGCAGGCAGGGAUCGGGGUGCUCGGGGCUGCACGGACCCCCAGGCAGGGAUCGGGGUGCUCAGGGUUGUACGGCCCCCCAGGCAGGCAGGGAUCGGGGUGCUCAGGGCUGCACGGCCCCCCAGGCAGGCAGGGAUCGGGGUGCUCGGGGCUGCACGGCCCCCCAGGCAGGGAUCGGGGUGCUCGGGGCUGCACGGCCCCCCAGGCAGGGAUCGGGGUGCUCGGGGCUGUACGGCCCCCCAGGCAGGGAUCGGGGUGCUCGGGGCUGUACGGCCCCCCAGGCAGGGAUCGGGGUGCUCGGGGCUGUCCCUACUCCCCCAAGCCGGGGGUUUGUGUCCCUACCCCCAUGCACGGACCCCCCCGGCCGGAGCGACCUCCUUUACCUGUCCCUGCCCCACCGCAGCCCGCUCCCUCCUGGCUGCCCCCCCUCCCCGCCGGUGCCGGUGCCGGUGCCGGUGCCGGUGACCUGCAGGGCCGGGGCCGCCCGCCAGGGGGUGCUCGGGCCCCGCCGCUGAGGGGUCCCGGGGGGACGUGGGGGGGCGGGGCGCUCGGGGGGCGGGGCCUCGGCCGGGCGGUGCCGGGAUCGGGAUCGGGACCAGGAGCGCGAGCGGAAGCGGGACGGACGACGGACGCGCGGACGGGCCGGGCCCCGAUCCCGCCCCCCAUGGGCUCCCCCCGCCCCGCGCUGCUCCUGGCCGCCGCCGCCGCGCUGCUGCACGCGCAACCCAACACAGACGGUGCAGGAGCCACAGGCGGCAUCAUCGGGGGCCUCAUCGCGGCAGUCGUGGCUGUGGCAGUCGUGG